ACCACCGCGCCACCAGGGAAGCCCCCUGAGGGAAGACUUCUUGCUCUGCACGCUUGCCGCCUUCACCCUCCACACCUGAGUGAGCCCCCUUACACUCCCUCACCUGGAAACUGUGCUACUUUCCUCUUGGCAAUUAUUCCAGCUUGAAAGUGGACACUAUUUAUUGGCAUCAUCUGUGGGCAGGACAGCUUCCCCUUUUAGAGUCUAAAUUCCCUGAGAAGAAGGGACAAUGUCUGGUUUUGCUCAGCACUUCAUCUCCAGCUCAGAGCUGGUGUUCAAAUAUUUGGAUUGCGUGAAUGGAUUAAUGAUCAAAUUAACAGCUAAUCCUCACCAGCUCCUCCCAAGAUAACCAUUAUUAAUCUCAUUUUAUAGAUAAGGAGACAGAAACUCAGAAGGUUUGGGCUUGCCUAAGGCCAAACAGCUUUUGAGGAUGACAGCUCAGCAUUUGGAUUUAGAGCUGCCUGAUUUCAACAGCGUGGGGACCUUGGGGAGGAAGGCUGGAUGGAGUCAUUUAGGGAAAUUUGAGUCCUACCUGUUUGUUUUCUUUGUUGAUGCUCAUGAAAUUAUUUAGUUAUCUGUGUUGAUAGGAAACUGAGAUGCAAGCAACACUAGGCUGGAGGAACGAAGAUCAUGACAAGUGAUAUCUUACAGGGAGCCUCAGUAUAGAGGUCAAUGUGGGCAGAACUGCUGAUGUUGGAGGGUUUCAGGGGACCUGGAGGCCAGCCCAGGCCAAUCCAGCUCUAUGGAGCAGUGGAAAAGCCAUCACUCUCAAAUAAUCACUCGAGUCCACUUGCAGCAAAGUUUGUAAAACAAAGGUAUCGACUGUUGAAACUGAACUCUCGUACAGCAGGCAGGGCCCCCAUGUCCUGCCCUGAAAUGUUUGUUUGUGAUCCCCAAACCUUCUGAUGUGUGAAUAUGUCUGCCUUUGCACAUGGAUAGUGGUCAUGAGCGUCAGUGUAUAAUUCAUGAAAAUGGACCCAGUGCUGGAAAGAACAUACCAGCAAGGCCACCUGCAGUAGGUGGCCGGGGUGUGAUCAUUUUAAAUUCUCAACCCGCAUCCGUUCUUCUCUCCCUACGUACCAUGUUCCCAUUCUAAUAACUGGGGUUCUGUGGCCAUGGUCUUCACUCUCACCCUCAUGGCGCUGUUAAUGAAUGUCAGUUCUAACAUCUGGGGUCAGCUGAGCCCUGGUCCCUGCUUCUCAGUCUGCUUCUCAGCUGCCUGAGCCUCUCGGUUUCCGACUAAAACUGGAGGCUGGGCCUUAUCUGUCUCUGCCCACCUCCUUGGAUCCGAUGCCUUGCCUCCUGAGAUGGUUAUAAAGUGCAUAAAUCAGGGAUGGACUUACACUCGGCAUUCAAUAUCAUUUGACAUUUUUGUUGUCGUUAUUUUUACUUUUUAAAAAUUCUGACUCCUAUUUCGUGCAACCCUGGAACCAGUGAAAAUCAUGUUUCACCCUCUUGGGAUCAUGAGGUCAGCUUUACUUUACCAGUAAUGGCAUGACAUGUCAUGGUUGUAUGCACUUAAUCUCUAUCACAGCCCUCAUGAGGGACUUAUUGAUCUUAUUUUAUAGCAAACGAACAAACAAAACCCCACGCCCUCAGAUUGCUCUGCUCCCUCAGUGUUUCGUUUGCAGAUUAGGUAUGAGAGGAAAUCCCUUAAUAAGUAAAAAGGUAAUAAAAUACGAAAACACACACAAAAUACAUACGAAAAGGCCAAUUAGAACUGCUAUUAUAAUGGUUACACUAGAUAGUCCAGCAUUGUCAAAGAUCACGUUUUAUUUUGAAUUUUAGUAAGCAAAGUGGUUUUUGAAGUACGUAUUUAUUUGAUUGGACUUAGGAUCAGCUACGCCCACUGUCCAACUUCAGUGCUGAUCUCAACGCUGCUCCUCCUGUACUUACGUUCUUGGGAAAAAGCAUCCACGGCUCUUGGGAGGUUUUGUUUGCCUUUUCCUCCAAUGAAAAGGGCCUCAGAAAAAAGGGUCUCGUUUAACGCUCUGAUAAAAGCUUGGGAGCCUUUCCCUGGGAAAAAUGCCCAUGCUAACACAAUCUUGUACAUAAUUUCAGGAUGUUGAUACAUUCCCCCAAAGCCAUGGACCCAGAUAAAAACUCCUGUUUUCCAGUCCGGACAUUGGAAGAUGACGAUGAAGUUGAUAUAUGAAGAAGCACAAAUUGGACAGCUGACCCUAAUAAAUCAUAGAGGAGGAACAGGUGACAAGCACACACUCGUACCCACGUGACUUGACUUCUCCCAGCUCGCUCCAGCACAGGACAAGCGGCAGGUGUGGCUCACCGCCCCUGUGGCAAGCCGCUGACACGGUGAGAAGGACAGAGCAGAGGCAGGACCGGGCUGUGCUGAUCUGAUAAGGGGAUUAAGUUUUGGCUUCCCUCCCACCAUCCCUAAUGCCCUCGGACUAAGCAGCUGCCCCAGCUCAGUUCUUCCUCGGAUGCAAAACGUCUCUCUGCCCAGGCAGUCGCUGCAUGCUGGCCCCCAGAGGCACCAGCCUUUCCUGAAACACAUGGUGACGUUCUUUACACCUUUGCCCAGGCAUGCCCUCUGUGGGCGAUGCCCCGCCCCUCCGGUCAAGUACCCACUUGCUCUUCGAGACUGGCUCAGGUUUCACCUCUGAGCUGUUGCCCUAGUUCUGGGGGUGGGUUUAGCUGCUCCCUCCUGCGCUCUGCUCGCCCCACACCCACCCCUCUCCUUCCUGUGCUUACUACGCGGUAAGUGUGGGCCUCCUACAGCAGUUAUUUUUUCACAUGAUUGUCUUCUCCAUCAAGAGGAUGAGCUUCCUGAGGACAAAGACCAGCUUCUUCCAAGCGUCUGGCGCCUAACAGUUACUUUAUAAACAUUUCUGGUCGGACUUCCCUGGCGGUCCAGCGGUUAGGACUCUGAGUUUCCACUGCUGGGGCCCAGGUUCGAUCCCUGGUCGGGGAGAUAAGAUCCUGCAAACCCGGCAGCACGGCCAAAAAAGAAAAAGAAAAGUUUUGGGGAUGCUAUGACUGAGUGAUAUAUAUAUGGUCAACCUAUGAAAAGAAAGCAGUAUGAUACAGGACACGUGUAGGAGACAGACACACUGGAGAGGCAGCAAGUUCAUGAAAACUUCUUUCCUAAAAGUAAAGACAAGUCACGAGGGUAUAUAAGAGCUGCCUGAAGCGGAGGGAGCAGUGUGAUACGUGAGCAGCUCAAAGGGGACACAGACGGUGCACCCGGCAGGCCAGAGGCUCUGAACCUGGAGCCUGGACCCCAAGAGCCGCUUACAGCAGAGUCCCCGAAGGGCCUCCUGGAGCAGGAAGGUGCUGUGGGACUCCAUCUGCCUUCCCCACACUCUGUAACAAGAGCAAGCGCUUGGUUUUGUUUGGUUUUGUUUCGUUUUAUUUGGCUGCACCGUGGCUUGUGGGAUCUUAGUUUCCUGACCAGGGAAUCGAACCCGGACCCCCUGCAGCAAAAGUACCAUGUCGUAACCACUGGACCGCCAGGGACUUCCCAAGAGCGAGCACACUGACAGUUCGUCUUCGUGCAGAGGUCUCAUUUUCCUAGUGCAUCUCACACACCUAAUGUUUAUCAGGCCCACGUGCUUUCAUUUUCUUUUAAUAAAACCUCUGGGCCUUAACCCUGAAUUGAGAGGGUCUGGGAGGAGCGGUGUGGCAGGAGGACGAAGCUGGUGCAGGAAACGAGGCAGUCCUGCACAGACGGGAAGGGAUGUUCCAUCAGCAGGAAACAGCCCUCAAAACCAGUCACAUCAGAAAUGGGUGACACCAUGAUGAACUGUUAGUGACGAGACAUAAAUGGAAAUUGAGGGGUCUGACAGAGGGAACUUAAGAGAGACAAGAGGUGUAACACCCCCUCCCCCCUGAGCAAUCACCUUCAGCGGACACUGCCAUUUGGAGCCUCAAAACCCUAGGCAUCGGGUUAGCCCCGUGUUUGCACGUAUGUUUAGCCACAGACCACUUUUCUGGAGUACAUCCUAUACAGUAAGUCCAACAGGUCCAGCAGAUAAAGGAGAAGCAGCAGUGAGGGGGCCAGAGCCCGCACACUUCCCCCUCUCCUCCCCGAACCCAGUACCCCUGGAGGCAGGAAGGUCUCUGAGGAAGCCAGUUUGAAACCUAUUGCACUAAAUUACUGGUCUUAGUCUUGGCAUCCCAAACUCCAAUGACCCCAAAGUCCAGAUGGACAGCAUAAAAGAGUGACACUGGCUUGUUUUGGCUUUGACAAAAUUGGGGUGUCCUAAUAGAGGGAACCCCAGAGGAAAAGCUGUGCUUCCUCCACGGGAUUGAUUGUUGCUAGACUCUGGCAGACCGAGGAAUGCAGCCGGCUCUGUGUUCACAGACCAGAUUUUUCCAUUGAAGCCAGAAAUCCAGAUUUUCCCAUGAACUCACCUGACUUUAAAAAAAAAAUUAAUAGACUAUUUUUAGAGAAGUUUUAGGUUACAGAAAAAAUGCAUGGAAAGUACAGGGAGUUCCCAUAUACUCCCUCCCCCAGCCCCAUUCCAGUUUCUCCUAUUAUUAGCAUCUUGCCUUAGUGUGGUACAUCGGUUACAAUUGAUGAACCAAUGUUGAUACAUCAUUACUAACUAAAGGCCAUGGUUUACAUUCAUUCUUUGCGUUGUACGUUCUAUGGAUUUAGACAAACGUAUAAUGGCAUGUAUCUGCCAACACAGUACGAACCAGAGUCAUUUCGUUGCCCUCAAACUCUUCUGUGCUCCACCUAUUCAUCCCUCUUCACUUACCCUCCCAGCAACCCCUGGCCACCACUGAUCUUUUCACUGUCUCUGUUCUUUUCCAGAAUGUUCAUAUCUUUGGAACUGUACAGUAUGUAGCCUGUUCAGACAGGCCUCUUUCACUUUGGAAAUAUGCAUUUAAGUUUCCUCCACGUAACUCCCGAUUUUUAACUACUGAAAAUAAAUUGAAAUAGUCACAAAAUACUGAAAGGUAGACCUUCAUCCUACACCUCUCUUGGUUGGACGAGGAGGUACGUUUCUCUCGCUUUUUACAACCGGUAUUGGAGGUGGGGGAUGGGGGAGAGGGAGAGGGUCAUCUCAGAAAUGGAGGCGAAUGUGAGGGAGAAAUGGUUCCUGAAGGAAGCAUGGCUUCCAGUUUCCAGUUUUGCUUCUGCUUUCUGGUUCAAGCUCGCUCAGCUUGGGAUGAGCCCCUCCACCUUCAGUGUGCCUGCCUCACCCAGAAUCCCACCUGGUUCUCACUCCAUCCUCUUUCUCCCCCACUCCCACCCACCCCACUUGAUUCAGAGAGAGAGAGAGCACAGUGAAAA